rnacentral:rRNA from 2 species
CUAGAGACGCUGGCGGCGUGCCUAAUACAUGCAAGUCGAACGAACUCUGGUAUUGAUUGGUGCUUGCAUCAUGAUUUACAUUUGAGUGAGUGGCGAACUGGUGAGUAACACGUGGGAAACCUGCCCAGAAGCGGGGGAUAACACCUGGAAACAGAUGCUAAUACCGCAUAACAACUUGGACCGCAUGGUCCGAGUUUGAAAGAUGGCUUCGGCUAUCACUUUUGGAUGGUCCCGCGGCGUAUUAGCUAGAUGGUGGGGUAACGGCUCACCAUGGCAAUGAUACGUAGCCGACCUGAGAGGGUAAUCGGCCACAUUGGGACUGAGACACGGCCCAAACUCCUACGGGAGGCAGCAGUAGGGAAUCUUCCACAAUGGACGAAAGUCUGAUGGAGCAACGCCGCGUGAGUGAAGAAGGGUUUCGGCUCGUAAAACUCUGUUGUUAAAGAAGAACAUAUCUGAGAGUAACUGUUCAGGUAUUGACGGUAUUUAACCAGAAAGCCACGGCUAACUACGUGCCAGCAGCCGCGGUAAUACGUAGGUGGCAAGCGUUGUCCGGAUUUAUUGGGCGUAAAGCGAGCGCAGGCGGUUUUUUAAGUCUGAUGUGAAAGCCUUUCGGCUCAACCGAAGAAGUGCAUCGGAAACUGGGAAACUUGAGUGCAGAAGAGGACAGUGGAACUCCAUGUGUAGCGGUGAAAUGCGUAGAUAUAUGGAAGAACACCAGUGGCGAAGGCGGCUGUCUGGUCUGUAACUGACGCUGAGGCUCGAAAGUAUGGGUAGCAAACAGGAUUAGAUACCCUGGUAGUCCAUACCGUAAACGAUGAAUGCUAAGUGUUGGAGGGUUUCCGCCCUUCAGUGCUGCAGCUAACGCAUUAAGCAUUCCGCCUGGGGAGUACGGCCGCAAGGCUGAAACUCAAAGGAAUUGACGGGGGCCCGCACAAGCGGUGGAGCAUGUGGUUUAAUUCGAAGCUACGCGAAGAACCUUACCAGGUCUUGACAUACUAUGCAAAUCUAAGAGAUUAGACGUUCCCUUCGGGGACAUGGAUACAGGUGGUGCAUGGUUGUCGUCAGCUCGUGUCGUGAGAUGUUGGGUUAAGUCCCGCAACGAGCGCAACCCUUAUUAUCAGUUGCCAGCAUUAAGUUGGGCACUCUGGUGAGACUGCCGGUGACAAACCGGAGGAAGGUGGGGAUGACGUCAAAUCAUCAUGCCCCUUAUGACCUGGGCUACACACGUGCUACAAUGGAUGGUACAACGAGUUGCGAACUCGCGAGAGUAAGCUAAUCUCUUAAAGCCAUUCUCAGUUCGGAUUGUAGGCUGCAACUCGCCUACAUGAAGUCGGAAUCGCUAGUAAUCGCGGAUCAGCAUGCCGCGGUGAAUACGUUCCCGGGCCUUGUACACACCGCCCGUCACACCAUGAGAGUUUGUAACACCCAAAGUCGGUGGGGUAACCUUUUAGGAACCAGCCGCCUAAGGUGGGACAGAUGAUUAGGGGAAGUCGA